AUAUCUAGGUAUAAAUGUGUGUGAGAUUUGUGUGUGCAUGUAUGUAUUUAUGUUUAUACUAUCCUUUGUCUAUAUUUUUCAUUUGUUUUCAUACAACUAACAAUCUUCUUUAUUUUUCUCUCUUGAAACUCACUUGGAGCAAAGGCCAAGACAUUUAUUUAACCAAUACUUAAUGGAUGCCAAUGCUUCCCGAAGCUGCUAGGCUGCCUUGCAGGCCAAUAUUUUAUGUCAAGACGAACUAUUUAUAUUCAAAUGAUGAGCCAAUCAUAUAUUGAAAGAUUAUGGAAUAUUUUUAUUCUUUAUUUAAUUCAUAAAUCAAAGUAAUUGAAAGCAAAAUGAAAUGGGAAAUGUCUCCCACAUUUUAAAAGUACAUGAAAAGUACAAGCUGUUUUAUCAGCAAGAGGUGUUGCAAUGAAAUAGCAAGCCCCAAAUUUUAAAGGUAUGAGAAAAAGUACAGGUUGCUUUGUUUACAAGGGGUGUUGCAAUGGAACAAUGAGUCACAUAUUUUAAAAGUACAAAAAAAAGUACAGCUGCUUUGUUAGCAAGAGGUGUUGCAACAAACAGUGAGUCCCACAUGUGAAAAGUACAAGAAAAAAGUGCAAGCUCCCACAUUUUAAAAGUACAGGCUGGUCAUUAUUAGCAAGAUGUAUUGCAAUGAGCAGUGUGUCCCACAUUUUGAAAGUACAAGAAAAAGUACAAGCUCCCACAUUUUAAAAGUACAAGAAAAAGUACAAGCACCCACAUUUUAAAAGUACAAGAAAAAGUACAAGCACCCACAUUUUAAAAGUACAAGAAAAAGUACAAGCACCCACAUUUUAAAAGUACAAGAAAAAUACAAGCUGUUCAUUAGCAGGAAGUGUUGCAAAAACAGCAAGUCCCACAUUUUAAAAGUACAAGAAAAAGUACAAGCACCCACAUUUUAAAAGUACAAGAAAAAGUACAAGCUCCCACGUUUUUAAAGUACAAGCUGUUCAUUAGCAGGGGGUGUUGCAAAAACAGCGAGUCCCACAUUUUAAAAGUACAAGCUCUCACAUUUUAAAAGUACAAGGAAAAGUACAAGCUGCUUCAUUAGCAGAAAGUGUUGCAAUGGACAGCAUUUUUUUUUAUGUUGAACAAAAUUUUUAAAAUGAAACUAAACAGUUCCCAUGGCCAAAUUCUCUCCAGGAGUUUUGAACUUGAAGUCAAUUUGUGUUAAUGCCUUUCUGCUACUUCAAGUAUAAUCGCAUGCUACAUUGAAUUUCAUUGGAGUAACCACGACAUCGAUGAGAAAAUUGGAAAAGAAAAAAAAAAACAAUGAACAAAAAAAAAA